CUUUCCUUUUCCCAUAGAUGUUUUGGUUUGAGCUUCUUGAAUUGGGGCAGCUGAGUCUGGUUCUGCAUCAUUGAGUUCUGAGACAGUAGCAACUGGUUCUUGAUUCUUUGGGAGCUUCUUCUGCUUGUCUAAGUGCUUGCUGGUCUUAAGAAUCUCCUUAACAAGGCUGCUGAUUUCUUUCUCAUAAUCAGCCAUCUUGGUUUCUGAUUUUUCACUUUUGAAGUCUGUUGCGGAUAUGACUUUCUUCUUUGGAGAUUUCAGAGAAGUGUGGCCUUUGGAUGCAUACUUCUUCCCUAGUAGCAACUUCAGAUCUUCCCAAGUGGUGAUAGCUGGUUCCUUGUAGUACCUGCGAUCAUCUUCUUCUUGCAACAACCACUUAAAAACGUUUCCUUUGAGCUGAGACAUCACAUAAGCCAAUGCUUCUCUCUUCAGGAUUUUGUUGUAGCAAAGCCACUUCUCCAUUGUUCUUUCCCACUUUAAAUAAUCACCUUCCCCUGUAAAAACAUAAAGUUGAGGCUUAGUGACAAUUUGAUUGUAAGAAGAAUGAAUAUUUGAUUUAGGAGUGCGAGAAGCUUGAUGUGGUCUGCUCGAAGUGUGGGCUGGCUGUUUGUAAGACUGUUGGCCACGUCCUGCUUCCUCUUCCUUAUACCACUUAUGCUUGCUUGAUUCGUUUGGAACAGAAUCUGGUGGUCUAGGCUCAAGCUUUUGUUUGUCCAUUCUGUUUUUAUUUUGCUGCCUAAGAUCAUCAGUUUGCUGCAGAAACUUUUGUCUAAGCUCCUUUCGAAAUUCACCCAUGUUGGUAUCCAACAUCUGCUGCAUUUGAGCAUUCAUAGAUUUAAGUAACAGCCUUUCUUCCUUAGUGAUUUUUCCUUUCUGAUCUCCUGCCAUUGUACCUGAGACAGAAAACAACACACAGCAGUAACAAGUUCUACAGAGAAAACAAAAAUCAAUUUGCAAAACCAGAAACAGAUUCAAACUGAAGCUUAAAACCUUAGACAAUUCUCAGAACAAAUUAGAAACUCAACCAAUGAUUUAAAACAGAUCAAAACUAAUCUGAACAGAACUGAUAAAUCACAAACCUAACAGAUCAGAUUGAUUUCGAAACAGAACAGAGAGAUUUUGAUUUCAGGUUCACUUUCAAGUCUAGUACAUCAAGUUUAAUCAAAACAGAGUAGAUCAAGACAGAAACAAAUUCGAAAUUUCAGAAACAGAAACAGAUUGAUCAAGUAAAUCAGAAAACUUUCUCAGCAAGGUAUAUGAAGAGUUUUUAACACACAAACGAAAUCAGAUAAACUUAAUCUAUCAAAUUUCGACAGCCACAACACAGAUCUAUCAGUUUCUAGCAUGAAUAUGAAGAGACAAAUCGAAAAUCAUAGAGAAAGAUGAACACUUCCCUUCCAGAGUUGCUCUGAUACCACUUGAUGAGAUCCUAGGAUGAUGCUCUGGAACAGAUGGGAUAAUCCUUGCAGAAACGAAUCAAAAGACUCAAGCUUCUCAAGGUAUGUGGAUCGAAUGGUGACACAAGAGGCUGCGGAAAGGCUUCUUGAUACUCCUAGGCUUAGAUCGGAUAUGACACACCUCUCUAAAGCCCUUGGGCGUUGGAUAUUACACACCAACAGACUGGAUAUUACACACCAGACACACUUCAACUCGUCCAAGACAAGAGAGAAGAGAGAAAAGGGUUUUUGAUAAAAGAUUGCUUAAUGAUAAAGGGGGGGUCACGACCAGAAUAUAAAGAGAGGCCCUUGUACAUGCACAAGGUCUCGAAAAUAGAAAUAAAAAUAAAGGGAACAGGCUCCCUUGGAAACUAAACAAAGACCAAGUUUUCGAAAUUAAAAACAUAGCAUAAAAACUUAGAUAAAAUUAUAUAACAUAAGGUCUUCAUGUGGACAGACCAAGAUCAAUCAUCUAGGAGGUAAGAGAAGUAACUUGUGGCCUCAUUAAAAACCUUGAUUGGAAAACCCAGUGGGACAAAACCAAUCAAGGGAAAAAGAGUACACACAAGCUACUUGCCUAGAUGAUGAUCAGCUUGAGUGUAGAGUAGCUUGAAUGUAGAUCAAGUUGUCUCUGAUGAUAGAAGCUUUAUUUCGGCUCAAACAUUCUUCAAGUGUAGGUUCUUCCACAGCUACAAGUUCUCCAUGAUCAGGUUCAUGAUUCCAUUCCUUGGUGCUUUCCAUGAUCACAUCAGAUCAGUUUGAGGUACAAUCUGAAAGAGGAGAAGAAGUUCUGAAUGAAGCGGCAACUAGGGAACCAGGAGUGGAGAGUGAUCCACUUAUGGAGACAGUGCCGUUAAGAAGGAGCACAAGAGUGAGGAAGGAUCCAUCUAACUGGACCAAUACCAGAGUCUACUACAAUGCUCAAGCUGUGGCACAUCCUAGUCAAGCUGUGUGUUCAUUUGCUCAAUUUCCAGAUGAACAUCACGCAUUUAUGAUCAGUUUGGAUACAAGCUACAUACCAAGGACAUAUGAGGAGGCAAUGAAAGACAAAGAAUGGAGAGAUUCAGUUGCGGAUGAGGCUGAUGCUAUGAUCAAGAAUGAAACCUGGUAUGAGAGUGAGCUGCCUAAAGGGAAGAAGGCUGUUUCUUGUAAAUGGAUAUUUACAAUCAAGUAUCUACCUGAUGGAAGGAUUGAUAGGAAGAAGACAAGGCUGGUGGCUAGAGGGUUUACUCAAACAUAUGGAGAGGAUUACAUUGAUACCUUCGCACCAGUGGCUAAACUUCAUACAAUCAGAAUCAUACUAUCCAUUGCAACAAACCUUGGAUGGGGCUUAUGGCAGAUGGAUGUGAAGAAUGCAUUUCUCCAAGGAGAACUUGAAGAUGAAGUAUACAUGCAUCCUCCUCCGGGACUAGAAAGCAUGGUGAAGCCUGGAAAUGUGUUGAGACUUAAGAAAGCCAUUUAUGGACUGAAGCAAUCUCCUAGAGCAUGGUAUCAUAAGCUAAGCACAACCUUAAAUGGAAGAGGCUUUCGGAAAUCAGAAUUGGAUCACACGCUGUUCACUCUAGUCACGCAAUCAGGUAUCAUCUGUCUAUUGGUCUAUGUGGAUGACAUUAUCAUUACUGGAAGUGAUAAGGUUGGAAUCCAAGAGACCAAAGACUACCUUAAAUCUGUGUUUGAAAUCAAGGAUUUAGGGGAAAUGAAAUACUUUCUUGGAAUUGAGAUUUGUAGAUCCAAGGAAGGUUUAUUCAUGUCCCAAAGGAAGUAUACACUUGAUCUUUUGAAAGAUGCAGGUAAACUUGGAGGACAAACUGCUAAGAUGCCAAUGGAGGAUGGGUACAAAGUACCAAGAGAGGGGGAGCUUGAAGACAGCAAGCUGUUCCAUGACCCUAAGCUCUAUAGGAAGCUAGUGGGUAAGCUAAUCUACUUAACUAUCACACGACCUGAUAUCUGCUUUGCUGUGAAUCAGGUUAGCCAACAUAUGCAAGCUCCAAAGGAUCACCAUUGGAGAAUGGUGGACAGAGUGCUUAGCUAUCUCAACGGAUCACCAGGCCAAGGAGUUUGGAUGGGAUGCAAUGGGAGUACAGAAGUAGUAGGCUAUUGUGAUGCAGAUUGGGCUGGAGAUAGAGCAGACAGAAGAUCUACAACCGGUUACUACACCUUCAUUGGAGGGAACCUUGUGACUUGGAAGAGCAAGAAGCAGAAAGUAGUCUCCAGCUCUAUCAGAGGUAAGAUCCUUCAAGUCUUCUUGAAUCUGUUCCUCAUAAUAUCCUUUCUCUUCAACAAACUUCACUUCUCUAGAUACUAACACUCUCCUUGUGUUAGGAUCAUAGCACUUGUAUCCUUUCUGACUUGAUGAGUAUCCAAUGAACAUUGCCUUUGAACUCUUAGCAUCUAGCUUGUUUCUUAUCUCUCCAGGCACCAUCACAAAACACAAACAUCCAAAGACCUUCAUAUGCUCGAGAGAAGGCUUGUACUGAUUCAGUACCUCAAAUGGUGAUUGUCCUUGGAGGAUCAGAGUUGGUGUCCUGUUGAUGAGAUAACAUGCCGUAGCAACAGCAUCACUCCAAAACUUCUUAGGCACAUUGGAUUGAAACAUCAUGGACCUGGCAACUUCCAUCAAAUGCCUGUUCUUCCUCUCAGCCACACCAUUCUGUUGUGGUGUAUAGGGAUAGCUUGUCUGAUGAAGAAUUCCAUGCUGAGCUAAGUGUAGCUUGAAUGCUUGUCCCGUGUACUCUCCUCCAUUAUCUGACCUGAAAAUCUUUAUCUUGGCAUUGUAAUGGUUAGUCACAUAGGAUUGAAAAUUUUUAAAUGCAUCAAGUACCCUAUCUUUGGUUGGAAUUAAGGUUAACUAUCACUUUUAGUGAUGUUUAGAGUGAUCUGAGUAUUUAGGAAAGAUUAGAAGAGAUUUAGAGAAGAUUAAAGUAUGAAAUGAGAUUAAGAGUCUAAAGAACUAAAGAGAGACUAAGAGAGACUCAUAACUUGCUUAAUCUUAUUAAUGAGAGAGUUUACACUUAUAUAGGAAGCUUAAGACACUAGGGUUUCGAUUACAUAAAGUAGAAAGCAUGUGAGGUCAAUAACCAGCUAAGAGCUCAUUUGAAUCCUUCCAAUGAGAGUCUCCACAUGUGUAAAGCAUCUUUGAAUAUGCCUUUACCUUUCCAGCCUAUGACAGGCUGUCAGACGCGCCUCCCUUAUCCUUCUAAUGUUCAGCUCAACUUCAGGUUCACGGUAAGUAAGGUAAGGUAACUCCAGCCUAUUUACAUUUCACCUUGGCCGAGUUACUUCUUGCGGAUGGUCGUUGGUACGGCCUGCGUCCGUACUGCUCUCCCUAUCCGUACUGUCUGUCCGUACAUGCUCCUUCUCUUACUUGCUUAUUAACUCCUCAACACUUCUACACCCUCUUGGACUUCUUCUUCAUAUUAUAGUGCACUCUUCUCAACACUCCCCCUCAAGCUUAGCUUUGUGAAAGCCUAAGCUUGGACAGCCAUGAGAUCUUCCUCAUUAAAAACCUCACUAAGGAAAACCCAUUGGGAUAAAACCUUAAUGAGGGAAAAAGAGUAAAGAUCUCACAGCUAAGGGGAUCAGCUCCUUCUCUUCCCAAGAUCUAUGAGUCCCAAUCUAAUGUGAAUGGACUCCAUAGUCUUUUGUCUUGCCGCCUUGGUGAACACAUCAGCCAACUGAUCUUCACUUCUCGUAUAGCAAGGUAAGAUCACUCCAAGCACAAUCAUCUGUCUCACCUUGUGGCAAUCAACCUCAAUGUGCUUGGUUCUCUCAUGGAACACCGAGUUGGAUGCAAUGUGAAUGGCAGCUUGGUUGUCACAAUGCAUUGUCAUUGGAGUGGCUUGAUCAAUCUCCAAGUGCUUCAAGAUGCCUUUGAUCCACACCAACUCGUUUGUCAGCUUCAGCAUGGCUCUAUACUCAGCUUCAGCACUUGAACAUGACACCACCUUCUGCUUCUUGCUCUUCCAAGUCACCAAGUUGCCUCCAAUGAAAGUGCAAUAGCCGGUAGUUGAUCUCCUAUCAGCUCUAUCUCCUGCCCAAUCAGCAUCACAAUAGCCCACCACUUCUGAGCUUCCAUUGCAUCCCAUCCAAACCCCUUGAUCCGGCGAGCCAUUUAGAUACAUCAGCAGUCUCUCCACCAUACGCCAAUGAUGUUCCUUGGGAAGCUGCAUGUGUUGACUCACCUGAUUCACAGCAAAGCAUAUAUCAGGUCUUGUGAUGGUAAGAUAAAUCAAUUUGCCAACAAGUUUUCUAUAGAGUUUAGGAUCAUGAAAUGGCUUGCUGUCUUCAAUCUCCCCCUCUCUUGGUACUUUGUAGCCAUCCUCCAUUGGCAUCCUUGCUGUCUUGCCUCCAUAAGCACCUGCAUCUUUCAAAAGAUCAAGUGUAUACUUUCUUUGGGACAUGAACAAACCUUCCUUGGAUCUACAAAUCUCAAUUCCAAGGAAGUAUUUCAUUUCUCCCAAGUCUUUGAUUUCAAACAUAGUCUUUAGAAACUCCUUGGUUGCUUUGAUACCUUCCUUAUCACUUCCUGUGAUAAUGAUAUCAUCCACAUACACAAGGAGAGCAACCAUACCUGAGGGUGUCGUGAGUGUAAAGAGAGUGUGAUCCAACUCUGACUUCUUGAAGCCUCGGCCGUUUAAAGUUGUGCUCAACUUGUUAUACCAAGCUCUUGGUGAUUGCUUCAACCCAUAAAUAGCUUUCUUUAGCCUCAGUACAUUCCCUCUCUUCACUAGAUGUUCCAGGCCUGAUGGAGGAUACAUAUAGACUUCAUCCUCAAGUUCUCCUUGUAGAAAUGCAUUCUUUACAUCCAUUUGCCACAAUCCCCAUCCAAGGUUCACAGCCAAGCUUAAAACAAUCCUAAUGGUGUGUAGCUUGGCCACUGGUGCAAAUGUUUCAAUGUAAUCCUCUCCAUAUGUCUGAGUGAACCCUCUUGCUACUAGUCUAGUUUUCUUCCUCUCAAUCGACCCAUCAGCCUUGUACUUGAUUGUAAAGAUCCAUCUACUAGACACAGCUUUCUUCCCUUUUGGUAGUUCACUCUCAUACCAUGUAUCAUUCUUUAUCAUAGCUCCUGCCUCAGCUCCUACUGAUUCCUUCCAUUCCUUAUCCUCCAUUGCCUCUUCAUAGCUUCUUGGAAUGUGAUUCUCAUCCAAGUUUACCAUGAAUGCGCAAUGUGCUUCUGGAUAUUGAGCAAAAGAACACACGGCCUGAGUAGGAUGCUUCACAGCUUGGGCAUUGUAGUACACUCUUGUGUUUACCCAACUGGAAGGAUCCUUUCUCAGCCUUGUACUUCUUCUCAAUACUGGCCCUUCUUGCGCCAUCUCUUGUUCUUCUUCUUGUGGCAGCACACUUGUUUCAGAUCUUUCUUCUCCUAGCUGACUUGCUUCAGCUCCUUCUUCCCUUAGCUGACUCUCUUCAGCUCCUUCUUCUUGAUCAUUUGAUUCCACAGCUUGAUCAUGAGAGCCAGAACUCUCUUCUCUACUUGUUUCUUCACGGUUUGGAGUUCUUGUUUCAUUCCCCCCCUCAUGCUCAAGGUUGGAAGUCUGAUGAUCCGGGACUGGGGUAGUGCUUCUCCCUCCUUGAUGUCCUUGAUUCAUGUUGAUUCCAAGGCCUUCUAGGAUAAUCCUCAAGGUCUCAGCUCUAUCAGAGGUAAGAUCCUUCAAGUCUUCUUGAAUCUGUUCCUCAUAAUAUCCUUUCUCUUCAACAAACUUCACUUCUCUAGAUACUAACACUCUCCUUGUGUUAGGAUCAUAGCACUUGUAUCCUUUCUGACUUGAUGAGUAUCCAAUGAACAUUGCCUUUGAACUCUUAGCUUCUAGCUUGUUUCUUAUCUCUCCAGGCACCAUCACAAAACACAAACACCCAAAGACCUUCAUAUGCUCGAGAGAAGGCUUGUACUGAUUCAGUACCUCAAAUGGUGAUUGUCCUUGAAGGAUCAGAGUUGGUGUCCUGUUGAUGAGAUAACAUGCCGUAGCAACAGCAUCACUCCAAAACUUCUUAGGCACAUUGGAUUGAAACAUCAUGGACCUGGCUACUUCCAUCAAAUGCCUGUUCUUCCUCUCAGCCACACCAUUCUGUUGUGGUGUAUAGGGACAGCUUGUCUGAUGAAGAAUUCCAUGCUGAGCUAGGUGUAGCUUGAAUGCUUGUCCCGUGUACUCUCCUCCAUUAUCUGACCUGAAAAUCUUUAUCUUGGCAUUGUAAUGGUUAGUCACAUAGGAUUGAAAAUUUUUAAAUGCAUCAAGUACCCUAUCUUUGGUUGGAAUUAAGGUUAACCAGGUGUAUUUGGAUUUUUCAUCAAUGAAAGUUACAUAAUACUUAUGGUUUUCUCUAGAGAGGCAAGGUGCAGUCCAAACAUCAGAAUGAAUAAGAUCAAAACACUUUUCAUAAACAGUAGUAGACUUGGUAAAGACAGUUCUACAAUGCUUGCCUAAAAUGCAAGCUUCACAAUCAUUAUUCUCAAAGGAAACACCUGGCAACAUCAGUUUUAAAGCCUUAUUAUGAGGGUGUCCUAAUCUAGCAUGCCACAAUGCAUUUUUACUUAAACCAGAACUAGAAACAGAAGUAAAUGAGCAGCUAUAUCUAGAAACAGGAGUGAGAUCUUCAAGUAAAUAUAGCUCUCCUUUAGUCACUCCCUUUCUAUUGAGAUGAAGACCAAGGAGAGACAGUAACUUUAGAGUUUUACUGUGGUAACUUUAUUUUAACCACAGUAACUACUUGGGAAGUUAUCUGAUGAGAUGAGAAGGUAACUUAGUGAAGAGAAGAAGGUAAACUCGACCAAAGAGGAUAAGGAAGGAUAAGGGAGCACUUUGACAGCCUGUAUGAUGCUGGAAAGGAGAGAAUGCUUUUUCACUAGUGCAAGCAUGUGAGAAAGCACAGCCAAGUGAUUCAAAAGGAGUUCCAGCCUGUCCUUUGACUACACAUGCUUAUACAUUUCGAAAUUCCUUGUUGCUCUCUCUUUAUAUACUUGUAAACCCUCAUCAGUUAUUAAUUAAUGGAGUUUUGAGUCUCUCUCUCUUUAUUCUCUCUCUAAUCUCUUAAUCUCUUUAAUCUUCUCAUCUGAUUAUCCCUGAUUAGUUGAAUCAUGCUCUAAUACACAAAAGUGUAUAUGGUAUCAGAGCCAGGUUGCGCAAAGUGGGAGAGUGUGAUUCCUUUUUCUUAAAAAUCUUGAGUGUUCUUGAGUGUUCUUGGUGUUCUUAACUUCUGGGUUUCAUUAUCUUGGUGGCGUGAGAGGUUCUGGUGAAUCCAAAUCAUCUCAACAUGGAUAUGGAGCACAGACCUGAGUCAACUGUGAAGACUGAAGAGGAGAGGCAUGGCGAGUGGUCAAGGUGGGCCAAAAGAGCUUUGGAAAGCUGUGGGUUAUGGAGUAGUCAUGGAAAGGGGAAACCUUUCAUGGAAAUGGCUACUGAAGAAGGUCAGACAAGAGGUCUGAAGCUGGGAAAUGAAGUUGUUCAAGGAAACACUACAAAGAGUGAGAUUGAAGCAACUUUAGGCAAGUCCAAGCUUGUAAGAGCCGUUGAGGACAGAGGGGUGAUCCGCGGCUUGAGACAAGGAAAGGAUGAGUGUUAUCAGCUUGUGGGAAGGCUGAGAGAAGUAUGGUCAGAGUUAGAUGUGGUGAAGGCACACACAUCAAAUCCGAGAUGUUGUCAAGAAAGGAGGAAGCAAGAUGUGAUCUUCAGCUUUCUUAUGGAAGAGGUAUGUGAGCUUGUUAAAUAUACUUGUGAUGUGUGGGAAAUGAACAGGAAGCCAGAAAGAUGGAAGGGAGGUAUAAGCUGUAAGAAGGGAAGGUUGAGAAAACUUUCUAAGGAGUGGUUAAUGAAGAGAAGGGCAUGGAGAAAGGAUAGCAAGUCUGAACACUUAAGUGACAGGAUGAGUGUGAUCUUGAAGAGAAUCAAGGAUGUACUUCAGCAGAUGGUUAUAGGAGAGUGUUCAUACUCAGCUUACAUGGGAGAAACAGUAGGAGACAGUGCGGGUAUGAGAGGAAUGGAUACCAAGAGGACAGAUGAGUGUGUGACAAAGAAGGAAUGGGAUGAGUUGGUUAAGCAUGUGUAUGCUUUGGCUACGACCCGGAGUCUGGGUGCUCCUGCCAAAGCAUCCACAUCUAAACCCAUCAUCAUUGACUCUGGAGCAACACACCACAUGAUCAGUGACAAGAGACUAAUCAGUGAGGUUAAAGCAGCAACAGGGAGUGUCAUGAUAGCCAAUGGUACCAGGAUCCCAAUAGAAGGAGUGGGAAACCUCAAGCUGUUUGAGAAGAACUCCACUGCCUUCUACCUACCUCAGUUUACAUCCAAUCUAAUCUCAGUUAAGAAGGCUACAGUUGAUCUGGAUUGUCAAGUAGUUUUCAGACCAAAUGAAGUUGAGUUCCAGGAUUUGAAGACUGGAAGGGUUAUUGUGAUGAGAUCCUAGGAUGAUGCUCUGGAACAGAUGGGAUAAUCCUUGCAGAAACGAAUCAAAAGACUCAAGCUUCUCAAGGUAUGUGAAUCGAAUGGUGACACAAGAGGCUGCGGAAAGGCUUCUUGAUACUCCUAGGCUUAGAUCGGAUAUGACACACCUCUCUAAAGCCCUUGGGCGUUGGAUAUUACACACCAACAGACUGGAUAUUACACACCAGACACACUUCAACUCGUCCAAGACAAGAGAGAAGAGAGAAAAGGGUUUUUGAUAAAAGAUUGCUUAAUGAUAAAGGGGGGUCACGACCAGAAUAUAAAGAGAGGCCCUUGUACAUGCACAAGGUCUCGAAAAUAGAAAUAAAAUAAAGGGAACAGGCUCCCUUGGAAACUAAACAAAGACCAAGUUUUCGAUAUUAUUCAAAACAUAAAACAUAUGAUAAAAAUAACAUAAGAUAGAUAAUGUGGUUGGUCCGGGAUCAUCAUCUAGGAGAUGUGAAAGUAAACUUGUGGCCUCGUUAAAAACCUUCCUUUGGAAAACCCAGUGGGACAAAACCAAAGGUUAGGAAAAGAGCACACACAAGCUACUUGCCUAGAUGAUGAUCAGCUUGAAGGUGGAGUAGCUUGAUUUGUGGUGAGUGUGUCUGGGUUGAUCAAGCUGCAACCAAGACAAUCUUCUUGCUUCCUUGACAUCUUGAGUAUUCCUCCAUCAGCUUCAUUGAGUUUCUUUGAUCUGGAACAAGUGUUGGGACCUUCAGGAAUGGCUAGGGCAUCUUCAUCUACAAGCUGGUCCAUGAUCACAUCAUCCCCUCCCUCUUCAAAAGGAUUUGACCUCAAAUCUGUUUUAUGUUGGGCUCUCCAUACUCCUGAUGCAUUCCUCAAACCUGAUUCACAAACAAUUAAAUAAAGCAAGUUAGUAUAUGAAGAUUUAUCAAAGAGUAAGAGUCUUAUCCCAAAGAGGUUUUUGCUCGGUUUUGGAUGGUAGGCUGCAUCUGGGGGUGCUUUUUUGAUGAGGACGAAGCUAGGGACGCCUUUGUGCUUAUCCUGGUCCAGAUCAGGUGGUUUGAAUCUCUUGUCUUCCUCACGCUUGUAGUUUCUUCUUGUAUGCUUCAAGGUUUCAUCAUAAUCUGCACAUGGCUCUUUUGACAAAGACAAGUGCAUCAUAUCUGUGUAAACAAUACAAAAAUAAUUCUUGAAGACAUGAUCAAUUACCUUAGGAUGCUCACCUGGUCGCCAUAGAUAGGAUUGAGAUGUUUUGAACUCAGAAAAAUUCAAACAAAGCACACAGAGGAUCAUCCGACUUGUAGAACCCAUAACUCUUUCAUCGGAGAAGCUUUGGACAUGAUUCCAAUUCGACGUGAGACCCUGAUGAGUUAAGUUUCCAUGGCAGUCGAUUUUGCUGAUUAAUUCCUUGUGGUGAUUGAGAUAUGAUCCUCGGACUGCUCCUAUGCCAAGACUGGCUGCUAGACAGCUUCCAAGGUUUGCUUGUUGUGUCUCCAACUUAGCCAAUGACUCAUCAUUGAUACUCUGAUAACUAUAGGCCCUCUUUUCGAAAAGUGUAGAGCUCAACACAGUUUGACCUGUUCGAACAGCAAGCAAAUCAGGUUUCAUAUUUUUCUUUGAGUUUAGAUAGAUACCUCGGGUUGGUUGCUUUGGAGUUUGUUGUAAGCUAUGUUGAUCUGGUGGUUUCUCCUUGAUUUGAGAAGAAAACGUGAGUUCUUCUCCUGAACCAGUAAUCACUUCACCAUUUUCUCCAGUGAAUCCUUGAUAGUGCUCUUGCAGGUCAUAAGACAAGGAUUCAUGAGCUGUUUCAGACUGCAAGUUUUUCUGCUGUUCUAACUCUUCUCCUUGUGUUGAUUGCUCUGGUUCUUUCUCUGAUGAGUCUUUUUCUGCAAGCUGUGUCAAAGAUAAAACACUACUCGGUUGCACCGGUUCUAGACAUGUUAGUUCAUCACAAGCUUGUGUAUUUUCAAGCAAGAAAUCAGAAUGAAAGGAGUGAUGAGAACACUCAUAAUUUCUCAGCAGAUUUGUUUCUUCAUGGUCUUUCAAGCAGUGUGAAGAAUCUGAGACUUCUUUCUCCUCAUAAGUGUUGUUCCCACGUUCAUCCUCAAGCUCUUGGGUUUCUUGGCUAAGGAAUAGAAAAGGUUCUUGAUUAUGUGCUUCAAUGAAUGGACGUGUUGUGUUGGUUGGCUUCAGUGGUUUCCCCACGUCCAUGCUCAACUGAGACAGCUCCUUGAUGUCCUCCUUA
rnacentral:lncRNA from 1 species